GCACGAAUAGCACAAAGGUUGUGCAAACGCUUGAUAAGCGUUUGGCUCCAGGUUCGAAUCCUGGUUCGUGCA
rnacentral:tRNA from 1 species